rnacentral:sRNA from 1 species
GGGAUGCGCUCGGAAAAGGAGGGGGCCGGAGGCCCUAGGGCGGCCGUUGCCGCGCGGGGCCCGAGCGGGAGGGAGAAGCUGUCGGCCCUAGAGGUGCAGUUCCACCGCGACUCGCAGCAGCAGGAGGCUGACACGCCGCCAACCUCGUCCUCCGGUUGCGGGGGCGGUGCGGGCAAACCUCGCGAGGAGAAGAGGACGGCCUUGAGCAAGGUGGUCAUCCGCCGCCUGCCCCCGGGCCUCACCAAGGAGCAGCUGGAGGAGCAGCUGCGCCCGCUGCCAGCACACGACUACUUCGAGUUCUUCGCCGCCGACCUGAGUCUUUAUCCUCAUCUCUACUCAAGGGCAUACAUUAAUUUUAGGAAUCCUGAUGACAUCCUUCUUUUUAGAGAGCGUUUUGAUGGAUAUAUCUUCCUUGACAGCAAAGGUUGGAUUAUUGGUUUUUAAAAAUCUAUUAUAAUCUGUAGGUAUACUAAUGAAGAAUUGCUAGAAAAUUCGUGCUUUUUAUUAUUAUUAUUAUUAUUUGAGACAGGGUCUUGCUCUGUUGCCCAGGCUGUAGUGCAGCAGCCACAAUCACGGCUCACUGCAGCCUCACACUCCGGCUCAAGCAAUCCUCCAGCCUCCUAGUAGCAGGGACCACAGGUGUGUGCCACCAUGAUGGGCUGAUUUAAAAAAAAAAAUUUUGUAGAGACGGGGGUCUCACUGUGUUGCCCAGGCUGGUCUUGAACUCCUGGCUUCAAGUGAUCCUCCCACCUCAGCCUCCCAAAGUGCUGGGAUUACAGACGUGAGCCACAGCAUCUGGUCUAUUUGUGCAUUUUAAUUAAAAAGUUCUCAGACUAAAAUAAGAUAAAUUUUGAUUAUGUUACUGUAAUUAUGUGCAGAUAUUAAAAAUUGAAAUUAUUUAAUUUUAUUAUUUAAUCCAAAAAAAAUCCAGAAAUUCUGUGUAAUAGUGACAGCCUAUUUAUGUAUUAUUAGAGAAUGAAGGUUUUCAUGAGUGAGUUUUUUGCAUGAGAGAACUUGAUCUUUUUAGGUUCUAAAACUAAAUUAUUUUACCUGUUUGAUAGGAAUUUUCCAAAAUGUACACUGACUUCUAUGUUCCUAAACAGCACUCUUCAUGACUGUACCAUUUAUGAUAAUGUCACCAGGAAGUCACUGACUGCUGUUAAACAGCUUUGCCUGGGGAGACAGCAGUCUUCAACUCUACUCUGAAUAGUUC